AUGCUGCUCCUCCAAUUCAUACUGGGUCCUUGGCGCCGCCGAUCGGGCCAUUGGUUCGUACAAGGUACUCUCUGGGUAGCUUACACGGGCUCCUUCCCUCUCAUCACCUACACCCUUGGUCAGAUGGUGACCUCGCCCGUGAAGAACAUGUUGUAUCCUUUUUGGGCUGUGAUCCUCACCUGGGCAGCCGGGUGCACCAACGCUUCCAUGGCUUAUAAUAUCGAAGACAACAAGCGGUGGAAGCGGUACCUCUUUGAGAUCCUUCAGUAUUUACUGUAUCUAGCCUUUAUAUUGAAGCUGUUUGACCAUGGCGCAUCAGCUUCUUCACAUCCAAUUGGCACAGCACUUCUUCUAUUAGCGAACACGGUGUCUUAUGCCCAUCUUUUUAGAGUAGCUGCUGGUUGGAGGGUCACGAAUUCUUCUCCCAGCAAAUUGGUAGCCGACUACAUGAGGGCUCAGGUUCAGGUCAACACAACAUAUAGUGCUGCUCACGAUGAGACUUUCUCAAUGAACGACUGCAAGUACCUUGUCCAGGGAGAACCCAGAUGGAUUGUGCCGAAGCCGGACUAUCCAAGACCCUCGAGUUUGCACUGA
rnacentral:rRNA from 1 species